CUUUAGUUUGACGCCCCGAAACCAGGUGAGCUACCCCGAGACAGCCUAAAUAACUUAGGGCUAACCCGUCUCUGUGGCAAAAGAGUGGGAAGAGCUCCGGGUAGAAGUGACAGACCUACCGAACCUGGUGAUAGCUGGUUGCCUGAGAAGUGGAUAGAAGUUCAGCCCCAUGCACCCCGAACCAAGGACAUUCUACCUUAAGGUUUUAGGGAUAAACACGGGAGUUAGUUAAAGGGGGUACAGCCCCUAUAACAAAGGACACAACCUUCACAGGAGAAUAAAGAUCACAAUGUACAAGACACCCUGUUCUAGUGGGCCUAAAAGCAGCCACCUAAACAGAAAGCGUUAAAGCUCAGACAGAAGAAAGUUUAUUAUACUGAUAAAAAAAUCUUACUUCCCUAACAAUAUCAGGCUAAUCCAUGCCAACAUGGAAGAAAUUAUGCUAAAAUGAGUAACAAGAAGACCCGCUCUUCUCCAAGCACAAGUGUAAACCAGAUCGGACAAACCACCGGAAAUUAACGAACCCAAACAAAGAGGGCAGUGUGAACAACAAAGAAAUCAGGAAAAUCCCGCAACUAGGCCAUCGUUAACCCCACACUGGAGUGCUAUUUAUAAAGGAAAGACUAAAAGAAAGGGAAGGAACUCGGCAAACACAAGCCUCGCCUGUUUACCAAAAACAUCGCCUCCUGCAACUAUAUUAGGUAUAGGAGGUCCAGCCUGCCCAGUGACUACGGGUUCAACGGCCGCGGUAUUUUGACCGUGCAAAGGUAGCGCAAUCACUUGUCUUUUAAAUAGAGACCUGUAUGAAUGGCUAAACGAGGGCUUAACUGUCUCCCCCUUCUGGUCAGUGAAAUUGAUCUACCCGUGCAGAAGCGGGUGUAACACCACAAGACGAGAAGACCCUUUGGAGCUUAAGGUACAAGAUUCAACCACGUCAAGCGACUUAAUAAGAAGCAGGAACUUAGUGGGAAGUGAAGCUUUACCUUCGGUUGGGGCGACCGCGGAGGAAAAACCAGCCUCCGAGUGGAAUGGGCCAAGUCCCUAAAACUAAGAGAGACAUCUCUAAGCCGCAGAACAUCUGACCAUAAAUGAUCCGGCCCAAGCAGCCGAUCAACGAACCAAGUUACCCUAGGGAUAACAGCGCAAUCCUCUCCCAGAGUCCAUAUCGACGAGGGGGUUUACGACCUCGAUGUUGGAUCAGGACAUCCUAAUGGUGCAGCCG
rnacentral:rRNA from 1 species